rnacentral:rRNA from 1 species
AUUGGACGCUGGCGGCAUGCCUUACACAUGCAAGUCGAACGGCAGCACGGGAGCAAUCCUGGUGGCGAGUGGCGAACGGGUGAGUAAUAUAUCGGAACGUGCCCAGUAGUGGGGGAUAACUGCUCGAAAGAGCAGCUAAUACCGCAUACGACCUGAGGGUGAAAGGGGGGGAUCGCAAGACCUCUCGCUAUCGGAGCGGCCGAUAUCAGAUUAGCUAGUUGGUGGGGUAAAGGCCUACCAAGGCAACGAUCUGUAGUUGGUCUGAGAGGACGACCAGCCACACUGGGACUGAGACACGGCCCAGACUCCUACGGGAGGCAGCAGUGGGGAAUUUUGGACAAUGGGCGCAAGCCUGAUCCAGCAAUGCCGCGUGCAGGAAGAAGGCCUUCGGGUUGUAAACUGCUUUUGUCAGGGAAGAAAUCCUCUAGGUUAAUACCCUUGGGGGGAUGACGGUACCUGAAGAAUAAGCACCGGCUAACUACGUGCCAGCAGCCGCAGUAAGAC